GGGCCUGUAAUGUCAGUGUAAGCAGUCAUAUGAGCCACCAGGUGGCGCUGUGGCCGCAGAGUCCACACUGACUGACUGCGUUUUUGCCGAAGAAGUGCACGAAACAGGAAGCAAACAUCUCAGAUUCAACGUUAGUAAAGACACGACUGUUUUGUUUGCGCUUGUUAUACAUCACGUGAAAGCCUUGGAUUUGUGUUUUAAAUGUCGCUGUAUUGCUUUUAGGGACCGUGUGUGCGCGGUGUCUCAGUUAGCCGCAGCGUCUGAUAGCUUCGUAGCUAGCUUAGUCUGACACUCUCCACAUAGCUUUGCUAACAUCAAACCUGGAUUGAUUUUAAAGAUGAAUUUGGUCAAAAACAAAACGUUGCACCCGCAACUGCACGACGAAGAAGCUCUUGUUGUGGAAAACGCCAUCCGGCUGGCGGUAGACUCGAUAAUAAACGUGCUGUAUGGUGUCAACAGCGCCAGGUCUCGUGAGUACCAGAGGAUGGUGGCCGACAGGGACAAAGAGAUCCUGCGGCUCGAGGACAGGGUGACAGAGAUAGAGCACGAGCUGCAGGUGCUGCGCCGACAUAGAUGCACCUGCGGACUUUUUGGUAAAGAGCACAGCCUCGUGGGAUCACAGACCUGCGGUGAGCCACAGAUGGGAGAGCAGAGCGGGUUUGAACAAAGCUGCAUCCACACUGAGAUGACAGCAGAGCAGCAGGAGUCUGAAAUGAGCAUCUCUUUGGGCCUUUUUGCAAGACCCCCCUCACACGUCUCCUCCCAAAGCCACGAGUCGGUUCUUCCAUCAUCCCCCAGCAGAAUGGUUCUGGACCAGUCCUGCGCCUCCCACUGCUCCGAGUCCUCAGGGGUAUCCGAGGCAGCCAGGAAUCUGCCUACAUCUCCCAGCAGCCUUGUCAUCAAAGAGGAGCCGUGUGAUAUCGACACAGUUUUAAUCAAGUGGGAAAUGAGUGAAGAGAGAUUCAUGGAGCAUCAGGAGAACACAGGCAGUCCAUUUCAGGACGAUGCAAGCCCCAGUGUUAAAAACAAAAUGGAGAACAGAGAGAGAAGAAAGUUCAGGGAGGAUCCUCUCGCAGAUUCAGACGGACAUUGCGAUCCUUAUGAAGAAGACCUGAGGAACCAGAAGAACGGCAUGCCAACGUCCGACCUGUCAGAGGAGGCUCAGAGACAGAAGAGGGCAGCCUGGAGAGAAGCUUCCCGGCGCUACUAUGCCCGAAAAAUAGCCCGCCAACAGGCAAACCCCACUCACUCCGGCCCCUUCCCCCCACGGUCUGCUCCUUUCCCCCCACGUUCUACUCCUUACCCCCCACGGUCUACUCCUUUCUCCCCACGGUCUGCUCCUUUCCCCCUGAGGCCUGCUCCUUUCCCCCCACGGCCAGUCCCUUUCCCCCCGCGGUCCGCCCCGUCCCCCCCGCGGUCCGCCCCAUUCCCCUACAUUAACGACACCCGGUAUUCACAGCCCAUCUCUUUUGAGGAUAAGAAAAGGAGGACGUUGAUAUCUGAGUUACCUGAAGAGUCUCAGUCUCUGCAGAGGGAGGCGUGGAGAGCCGCGUCCAGGAGGUACUAUGCUCGAAAAACUGCUCGCCACCAGAUCGAGCCCACACAGUACCCACACCCGCUCCAGAACACGGAGCCGUCUGGAGAAACACUACCACCCAACAGAGGAGAGUCCCACACCAACAGUGGAGGAAUAUUGUGCAGCUGAUAGACAGUAAUGCUGUCAGUGAGGUUUUCUAUUCAGCAUAUUUAAAAGUUGAUUUUAUAGUUAGAUUUUUUUGGCUGAUUUGUACAGAGGUUGAGAUUUGUCUCAGGUCUUCUGAUAUAGUCCGUAUCGUUUGAAUCUAGUGUUUUGAAUUGUUUGAAAUCAGUAAUUUGUGUUUCUUCAUAGUUUAAUUAUGCAACUAACCAUAAAAACAACACUGCAUUUAUAUCACUUUGGUUCUAAUUUAUCACCGUUUUAUUAUUUUUCUUUAGUAUACUGCAUUGCAUGCCUGUAGAAAAAGAUAACUGCAAAUGAAGAUUGAAUAAAUCUAUUCUGAGGCAAUAUAUAGCUAUUGUAAAGUAAUGUAAAACAUGUAACAACCACUGUCUCAAUACAGCGCCCCUGGAGUCCAACGUUUGCAACUACAAUCAAGGUCAUCGUCAAAUUAUGAGCUCAACAUUUGUGUAAAUAAUAGAUAUGUAAUUAUCAAUUAAAUCUUUUACUGACAGGACAUAAAAAGUAUUUUUUUGUUCUGUUAAAUAAUAAAAAAUAAUUUAAAUACAAUUGUGGUUUUGUCUUUCUAUUGUAAUC
ensembl:lncRNA serine/threonine-protein kinase BUR1-like